rnacentral:rRNA from 1 species
CACAUGCAAGUCGAACGGUAACAGGUCUUCGGACGCUGACGAGUGGCGAACGGGUGAGUAAUACAUCGGAACGUGCCCAGUCGUGGGGGAUAACUACUCGAAAGAGUAGCUAAUACCGCAUACGAUCUGAGGAUGAAAGCGGGGGACCUUCGGGCCUCGCGCGAUUGGAGCGGCCGAUGGCAGAUUAGGUAGUUGGUGGGAUAAAAGCUUACCAAGCCGACGAUCUGUAGCUGGUCUGAGAGGACGACCAGCCACACUGGGACUGAGACACGGCCCAGACUCCUACGGGAGGCAGCAGUGGGGAAUUUUGGACAAUGGGCGAAAGCCUGAUCCAGCAAUGCCGCGUGCAGAAUGAAGGCCUUCGGGUUGUAAACUGCUUUUGUACGGAACGAAAAAGCUCCUUCUAAUACAGGGGGCCCAUGACGGUACCGUAAGAAUAAGCACCGGCUAACUACGUGCCAGCAGCCGCGGUAAUACGUAGGGUGCGAGCGUUAAUCGGAAUUACUGGGCGUAAAGCGUGCGCAGGCGGUUAUGUAAGACAGAUGU